UACGUAGGGGGCUAGCGUUGUCCGGAAUCAUUGGGCGUAAAGAGCGUGUAGGCGGCCCGGUAAGUCGGGUGUGAAAUCUUGGAGCUUAACUCCGAAACUGCAUUCGAUACUGCCGUGCUUGAGGACUGGAGAGGAGACUGGAAUUUACGGUGUAGCGGUGAAAUGCGUAGAUAUCGUAAGGAAGACCAGUGGCGAAGGCGGGUCUCUGGACAGUUCCUGACGCUGAGGCACGACGGCCAGGGGAGCAAACGGG
rnacentral:rRNA from 1 species